UAGGGAAUCUUCGGCAAUGGGGGGAACCCUGACCGAGCAACGCCGCGUGAGUGAAGAAGGUUUUCGGAUCGUAAAGCUCUGUUGUUAAGGAAGAACGAGUGUGAGAAUGGAAAGUUCAUGCUGUGACGGUACUUAACCAGAAAGGGACGGCUAACUACGUGCCAGCAGCCGCGGUAAUACGUAGGUCCCGAGCGUUGUCCGGAUUUAUUGGGCGUAAAGCGAGCGCAGGCGGUUAGAAAAGUCUGAAGUGAAAGGCAGUGGCUCAACCAUUGUAGGCUUUGGAAACUGUUUAACUUGAGUGCAGAAGGGGAGAGUGGAAUUCCAUGUGUAGCGGUGAAAUGCGUAGAUAUAUGGAGGAACACCGGUGGCAAAAGCGGCUCUCUGGUCUGUAACUGACGCUGAGGCUCGAAAGCGUGGGGAGCGAACAGG
rnacentral:rRNA from 2 species